UACGAAGGGGGGCUAGCGUUGCUCGGAAUCACUGGGCGUAAAGCGCACGUAGGCGGAUUGUUAAGUCAGGGGUGAAAUCCUGGAGCUCAACUCCAGAACUGCCUUUGAUACUGAGGAGCUUGAGUCCGGGAGAGGUGAGUGGAACUGCGAGUGUAGAGGUGAAAUUCGUAGAUAUUCGCAAGAACACCAGUGGCGAAGGCGGCUCACUGGCCCGGGUACUGACGCUGAGGUGCGAAAGCGGUGGGGAGCAA
rnacentral:rRNA from 1 species